ACUGUGUGCUACUGCAUUAGCUGUUUUGCUUGGAUAAAUUGCCAGAUAACAGAUUAAUGACAGGGCAACGAAGUUUUACCAUAAAGGUCAUCGCUCAAUCAGCUGCAAACCACAACAAUAAAACAUACCUAAAACUAUGGAAAUAUAAUAAAUGUUUUUUUUGUUUUUUGAAAGUAAAAAAUGUAUUAUAUGCUAAUAAACAAAACAUGAAUUGGGGUAGAAUAAUAAUACCCCAAUAUACCCAAUAUACCCAACAUACCCAAUAUACCCAAUAUACCCAACAUACCCAACAUACCCAAUAUACCCAAUAUACCCAAUAUACCCAACAUACCCAAUAUACCCAAUAUAAAGAGAAAAUGAACAAACAUGAUAUGAACACAAGAUACAUAAGUUCUAUUAACAAAAAUAAAAACACACUGAAAUUAUAUAAAAAAGAAACAGACAUGUUAACAGAAAAAACAGAAGACAUGACAUUAGUAAGAGUAAAUAACUUAUGUCAAAAAAUUUACUAUUUAAGCAAAAACAGAAUAAAAAAUGAAGAAUGGUAUUUUUAUAUAAAAGAACUUUAUAAUGAAAAAAAAAAUUAUAAAGUAAUAAAAAUGAAAAAUGUUUUUAUGUUAUUAAUAGGUUUAACAAAAAAUAAAAAUGUAAUAAUAAAAAAAGAAAGUAUAAAACCAAACACUAAUGAUAUGUAUAAUAUAAUUACUCAUAUUGUUGAUAUACAAAUAGAAAUGUUAUCAAAAAAAAUAAAUACAAUGAGUAAUAAUCAGCUCAGUAUAUUUUUAUAUAUCAUCACUAAUUGGGAUAAACAAAAGCAAUAUAAAUAUAUUAUUAAUUAUAUAAAUAAAAAUAUAUUAAAAAUGGCAGGAUCAAAGCAAAGGAAUGUUAAGGCAUUUGUUAACGUUUUAUAUUUAUACUCUAAAAAUUUGGAAAAGAUCUCAGAGGAGGGGAACAUUGAAACCGAUACUAUUUAUACUACUGUAUGUAACACUUCCUCUGAUACUUUCUCUAAUACUAUGACAAAUAACAACAGCAUUAGCAAACCAAACUACUCCCUAACUAACUCCGAAAUUAAUAACAUCCUAAACAAACUUUCAAAAAAAAAACUCAAAGUAGAUGACAUUCUAUUUUUUCUUUUAUCUUUAAAUAAAUUAAAAAUAAAAAUAAAAGAUAAAAACGCAUUAAAUAAUUUCAUAUAUAUAUUGAAUAAAGAUAUCCAAAAUAUAAAUUAUUUUUUUAUACCAUCUAUAUUAUUAUGUUUAUCAAAUUUAAAUAUAUAUAAUAAGGAACUCUUUUUUAAUUUUAAAAAUGUUGUUAUAGAAAAUUAUUAUUUUUAUAACUCUAUACAUUUUACUAAUAUAUUUUAUGCAUUUUCAAAAUUUAACGAAAAUUAUGACUUUAUAGAUGAAAUCUUUCAAACACUAUCGCAACAUAUUAUUUGUACGAUUCGUGGUGAUGCUAAUGAUACUAAUGAUACUAAUGUCAGCCAGGUCAGUUCAAAUCUUGUUAUAUCAAAAACAGUAGACAUUGGGAUUAAACAGUUGGACAGUCCUGGCGAAAUGCAUACACAACGGAAUAGCUUAAUGCAUAAACACAAACAUGAGCACAAAGACAAACACAAAGAUGCAUACGCAAAAAACGAAGAUAGAAAAAAUGAAGAUAGAAAAAAUGAAGAUAGAAAAAAUGAAGAUACAAAAAACGAAGAGGCAAAAAACGAAGACGCAGAAAACAAAAAACUCUCGUUCGACAUCUUCCAAACGACAAACAUAAUUAAAAGUUGUAUAAAAUCUAAUUAUAUAAAUUAUGACUUUUUUUUCUUUUUACUUUCGAAUUAUGACUUGCAGUUAGCGAAACCUACAUCCUUAGAUAAUAUAAUUAAUUAUUUUAAAAUUAUAACAAAAGUAAUAAACACAUUUAAUAUAAACACUUAUCAACACGUGUUAUGUUUUGAUUCUGUCCAGAAAACUGUUAAUGCUGACUCUGUUCAGAAUAUACAGUUAGAAAAUGGUGCUAAUCAGGAGGAUACUCUCGACGUAUGCCAUUAUGUUUAUCGGUUGGGAAAGGAAGCCACCCACAAAAAAAUAUACAAAUAUGAUUCGCAAACUGAACUAUCAAAUAAUUAUCCAAUUUUUAUAAUAAAACAUAAUUUAUAUGAUUACACAACAAGAAACACAUGCCCCUUAUUAGAUAAAUUCGAAACGUACAG
rnacentral:lncRNA from 1 species